rnacentral:rRNA from 1 species
UAUCCUACGGGGGGCAGCAGUGGGGAAUAUUGCACAAUGGGGGAAACCCUGAUGCAGCGACGCCGCGUGAGUGAUGAAGUAUUUCGGUAUGUAAAGCUCUAUCAGCAGGGAAGAUAAUGACGGUACCUGACUAAGAAGCUCCGGCUAAAUACGUGCCAGCAGCCGCGGUAAUACGUAUGGAGCAAGCGUUAUCCGGACUUACUGGGUGUAAAGGGAGCGUAGACGGCUGUGCAAGUCUGAAGUGAAAUGCCGGG